rnacentral:rRNA from 1 species
AGAGUUUGAUCCUGGCUCAGAGCGAACGCUGGCGGCAGGCUUAACACAUGCAAGUCGAGCGGGCAUAGCAAUAUGUCAGCGGCAGACGGGUGAGUAACGCGUGGGAACAUACCUUUUGGUUCGGAACAACACAGGGAAACUUGUGCUAAUACCGGAUAAGCCCUUACGGGGAAAGAUUUAUCGCCGAAAGAUUGGCCCGCGUCUGAUUAGCUAGUUGGUGAGGUAACGGCUCACCAAGGCGACGAUCAGUAGCUGGUCUGAGAGGAUGAUCAGCCACAUUGGGACUGAGACACGGCCCAAACUCCUACGGGAGGCAGCAGUGGGGAAUAUUGGACAAUGGGCGCAAGCCUGAUCCAGCCAUGCCGCGUGAGUGAUGAAGGCCCUAGGGUUGUAAAGCUCUUUUGUGCGGGAAGAUAAUGACGGUACCGCAAGAAUAAGCCCCGGCUAACUUCGUGCCAGCAGCCGCGGUAAUACGAAGGGGGCUAGCGUUGCUCGGAAUCACUGGGCGUAAAGGGUGCGUAGGCGGGUCUUUAAGUCAGGGGUGAAAUCCUGGAGCUCAACUCCAGAACUGCCUUUGAUACUGAGGAUCUUGAGUUCGGGAGAGGUGAGUGGAACUGCGAGUGUAGAGGUGAAAUUCGUAGAUAUUCGCAAGAACACCAGUGGCGAAGGCGGCUCACUGGCCCGAUACUGACGCUGAGGCACGAAAGCGUGGGGAGCAAACAGGAUUAGAUACCCUGGUAGUCCACGCCGUAAACGAUGAAUGCCAGCCGUUAGUGGGUUUACUCACUAGUGGCGCAGCUAACGCUUUAAGCAUUCCGCCUGGGGAGUACGGUCGCAAGAUUAAAACUCAAAGGAAUUGACGGGGGCCCGCACAAGCGGUGGAGCAUGUGGUUUAAUUCGACGCAACGCGCAGAACCUUACCAGCCCUUGACAUCCCGGUCGCGGACUCCAGAGAUGGAGUCCUUCAGUUCGGCUGGACCGGAGACAGGUGCUGCACGGCUGUCGUCAGCUCGUGUCGUGAGAUGUUGGGUUAAGUCCCGCAACGAGCGCAACCCCCGUCCUUAGUUGCUACCAUUUAGUUGAGCACUCUAAGGAGACUGCCGGCGAUAAGCCGCGAGGAAGGUGGGGAUGACGUCAAGUCCUCAUGGCCCUUACGGGCUGGGCUACACACGUGCUACAAUGGCGGUGACAAUGGGACGCUAAGGGGCAACCCUUCGCAAAUCUCAAAAAGCCGUCUCAGUUCGGAUUGGGCUCUGCAACUCGAGCCCAUGAAGUUGGAAUCGCUAGUAAUCGUGGAUCAGCAUGCCACGGUGAAUACGUUCCCGGGCCUUGUACACACCGCCCGUCACACCAUGGGAGUUGGUUUUACCUGAAGACGGUGCGCUAACCCGCAAGGGAGGCAGCCGGCCACGGUAGGGUCAGCGACUGGGGUGAAGUCGUAACAAGGUA